rnacentral:rRNA from 1 species
UAAUACUUAGGAAUCUGCCCAUUAUGGGGGACAACUCGAGGAAACUCGAGCUAAUACCGCAUACGCCCUACGGGGGAAAGCGGAGGACCUUUCGGGGCUUCGCGCUAAUGGAUGAGCCUAAGUCGGAUUAGCUUGUUGGUGAGGUAAAGGCUCACCAAGGCGACGAUCCGUAGCUGGUCUGAGAGGACGAUCAGCCACACUGGGACUGAGACACGGCCCAG